AAAACUUUCAACAACGGAUCUCUUGGUUCUGGCAUCGAUGAAGAACGCAGCGAAAUGCGAUAAGUAAUGUGAAUUGCAGAAUUCAGUGAAUCAUCGAAUCUUUGAACGCACAUUGCGCCCGCCAGUAUUCUGGCGGGCAUGCCUGUUCGAGCGUCAUUUCAACCCUCAGGGCCCCCCCUUCGCGGGGUCGGCGCCCUGGUGUUGGGG
rnacentral:rRNA from 1 species